rnacentral:rRNA from 1 species
GAUGAACGCUGGCGGCGUGCCUAAUACAUGCAAGUCGAGCGAACGGACGAGAAGCUUGCUUCUCUGAUGUUAGCGGCGGACGGGUGAGUAGCACGUGGAUAACCUACCUAUAAGACUGGGAUAACUUCGGGAAACCGGAGCUAAUACCGGAUGAUAUUUUGAACCGCAUGGUUCAAAAGUGAAAGACGGUCUUGCUGUCACUUAUAGAUGGAUCCGCGCUGCAUUAGCUAGUUGGUGAGGUAACGGCUUACCAAGGCAACGAUGCAUAGCCGACCUGAGAGGGUGAUCGGCCACACUGGAACUGAGACACGGUCCAGACUCCUACGGGAGGCAGCAGUAGGGAAUCUUCCGCAAUGGGCGAAAGCCUGACGGAGCAACGCCGCGUGAGUGAUGAAGGUCUUCGGAUCGUAAAACUCUGUUAUUAGGGAAGAACAUAUGUGUAAGUAACUGUGCACAUCUUGACGGUACCUAAUCAGAAAGCCACGGCUAACUACGUG